rnacentral:rRNA from 1 species
UAUGUGAUCGUCUCUCGCAUAUCAAUAAGCGGAGGAAAAGAAACUAACAAGGAUUCCCCUAGUAACGGCGAGUGAAGCGGGAAGAGCUCAAAUUUGAAAUCUUAAAGGGUUUCCCUUUACGAAUUGUAGUUUAAAGAAGUGUUUUCUGUUGAGGUUUUGGUAAAAGUUCUUUGGAAUAGGACAUCAUAGAGGGUGAGAAUCCCGUAUUUGACCUUUACUUUCAACUUUGUGAUACACUUUCAAAGAGUCGGAUUGUUUGGGAAUGCAGUCCAAAAUGGGUGGUAAAUUUCAUCUAAAGCUAAAUAUUGGCGAGAGACCGAUAGCGAACAAGUACCGUGAGGGAAAGAUGAAAAGAACUUUGAAAAGAGAGUUAAACAGUACGUGAAAUUGUCAAAAGGGAAGCGUUUGACACCAGUGUUGUUUUUCUGAAAAUCAAUUAAAGAACUGUUUAUGCUAAGUUGUUUAGACUUUAUCAGCUAACUGUUUAGUUUUGAGCUUUUCUUUAAUGCACUUUUCAGUUAACAAGUCAACAUCAAUUUCUUUUGCUGUAAAAAAGCUUGAGGAAGGUGGCUUGAGAUUCGUCUUAAGUGUUUAUAGCCUCUUGCCUAUGCAGUCGGAGAGAUUGAGGUCUGCAGCGUAGAUCCUUCGGGGCUAAAUGCAUCUGUGCUAAGUUAUAGCAUUUUAUAGACAACUUGUUGACUAUGAUUUGUCUUGUAGCUUACUCGCUUAUGUUAUUUUACCUACGCUUAGGAUGUUGAUCUACAGAGCGAGAGU